rnacentral:misc_RNA from 1 species
GAUGAAGAACGCAGCGAAAUGCGAUAAUUAAUGUGAAUUGCAGAAUUCCGUGAAUCAUCGAGUCUUUGAACGCACAUUGCGCCUCAUGGCAUUCCGUGAGGCAUGCCCAUCUCAGCGUUAGAAAAUAUUCUCAAAUUUUAGUUUUGUGCUAAAAUUUGGAUCAUGUCAAGGAAGCUAUUACUAUUAUUGUGAUCGCUCUUUGGAAAUUGAUAGGUCUUUGAGUUGCUACUCAUAGAACGUGAUGAAUCUUUCUUCGUUCUAUUGUAAUUCACUCUGGUAGUCCCAAAACUUGUAUGCCUGUGGCAUAUCUUGUAAUUUGACCUGAGAUUGGGUAGGGAUACCCGCUGAACUUAAGCAUAUCAAUAAGCGGAGGA